CCUACGGGAGGCAGCAGUGGGGAAUAUUGGUCAAUGGGGGAAACCCUGAACCAGCGACGCCGCGUGAGGGAAGAAGGUCUUCGGAUUGUAAACCUCUGUCUUUGGGGACGAAACAAUGACGGUACCCAAGGAGGAAGCCACGGCUAACUACGUGCCAGCAGCCGCGGUAAUACGUAGGUGGCAAGCGUUGUCCGGAAUUACUGGGUGUAAAGGGAGCGUAGGCGGGGCGGCAAGCAAAAUGUGAAACUGAUCGGCUCAACCGGUCAUUGCGUUUUGAACUGUCGCUCUUGAGUGAAGUAGAGGCAGGCGGAAUUCCUAGUGUAGCGGUGAAAUGCGUAGAUAUUAGGAGGAACACCAGUGGCGAAGGCGGCCUGCUGGGCUUUUACUGACGCUGAGGCUCGAAAGUGUGGGUAGCAAACAGGAUUAGAUACCCUGGU
rnacentral:rRNA from 1 species